GUCUCUCCCAAAACCUUCCGACAGUUGUCUCCCUGCGGAAGCCCGAGGACGAGGACGGCGAAGGAGACUCGUUUGGACCCCGAGUGAAAGGGAGGCCCUGUGAGCGUGCUUUUAGUGGAACCUGUACCCAGGCAUCGCCACCAGAGAACAGCUGGCCCAAGCCAUUGGCAUUCCGGAGCCCAGGGGCCAGAUUUGGUUUCAGAAUGAGAGAUCACACCAGCUGAGGCAGCACCGACAGGAAUCUUGGCCCUGGCCUAGGAAACGCAGCCCGCAAGAAGGCAGGUGAAAGCAGAUCGCAGUCACCCGAUCCCAGACCACCCUGCUCCUCCGAGACUUUGAGAAAGAUUGCUUUCCAGGCAUCACCACCCAGGAAGAACUGGCCAGAGAGACAGGCCUCCCAGAGUCCAGGAAUCAGAUUUGGUUUUAGCAUCAGGGCCAGGCAUCCAGGCCAGGGUGGCAGGGCACCCACGCACACUGGCGGCCUGUGCAACGUGGCCCCAGGCGGGUGUCACCCUCCUUCCUCGUCGGUCGCCUUCACCCCCACCGGGGCUUGGACAACAGCACUUCCCGCACCCCGCAUGUCCUGGGCUCCUGGGGCUCCCCCACAGGGUGCUCUCGUGAGCCAGGCAGCAAGGACCAUUGCCCUGCUCCAGCCCAGCCAGGCUGCGCAGGCAGAAGGAAUCUCCCAACUGGUCCUGGCACUCUGGGAUUUUGCCUACGCUGCCCUGGCUCAUCCAGAAGCGGCGCCCUCCAACCCUCAGGUUCCUCGGUGGCCUUCGCACCCCAACAAAUGCCAGGAGGACCAGGACCCACAGAACGGCGGCCUGCUGGGUGCUUGCUCAGUGGGACAGCUUAAACCUGCUCAAGCUGAGUCCAAAGGGUGAGGUGUGCUUGCGCCACACACAUCCUACCCGAGUCCGUGGUGGAGCUGGGGCCAGGGGCCCCAUGUCGCCAGGGCCACGUGGGAACCUGAAGCUGGGGCACCUCCACCUCCAGAGCCCACGCCUCCGGAAGCCUCCGCGUCACAGAAGCAGAUGCAAGCCAUCCAGGCGCCCUCCCAACCGCUCCAGGAGCCGGAGUGCUUGUCUGCAGUCACCUCUAGCCUGUUAGAUGAGCUUCUGUCGACCCCAGAGUUUCAACAAAAGGCACAACCUUUGCUAGAAACGGAGCCGCUGCGGGAGUUGAAGGACUUGGAAAAGCCCGUGUCGCUGGAGCCACUUUUUAUGGAGAAAGUAUGCCGGGCUCUGCUGGAGGCAUUUAU
rnacentral:lncRNA from 1 species